GGGCAACCGCGGCUGCCGGCUAAUCUCGCGCCAGCUGACGAGCCGGCACCUAGACGAGACGAGACAGAGACGGCAAUGGCGGCUCCCUUGGUUGUGCUGCUGGCGAGUGCCGAAAGACAACGACGCGACGAGAGGCAACGACGCGACGCGUUCGGCAUGGCCGAAGAAGAGUUUCGAAGGCAUUUUAGUCUCUCCAAAGACAUAGUGCGACGUCUUUGCGAUGAGCUGGAAGGACAUCUCGUACCUCAAAGAUUGCGUGGUGUCGACACUACGAUGAAAGUGCUGUGCGCGCUGCGGUUUUUUGCCACCGGGAGCUUUGAACAGUGCGUCGGGAAUGAAGAAGCGAUUGCACUGUCGUAGCCUUCGGUCAGCCGGAUCAUUACAGCCGUCGCCAAGGCCAUUACGGUUGUGGGCAAGGAAAAAGGAUGGGUUAGAUUCCCAUCCACGGCGCAACAGAAAGCCAGGAGUUCUAGGAUGUGUGGACGGGAGUCUGAUAGCCAUCGUUCGCCCUAAGAAGCUCGGCCCCGGCGAAACGGAAUCGUACUGGAGCCGUAAAGGGUAUUACGCCCUCAACUGCAUGGUCGUGUGCGACGCGAAGCUGAAUAUCCUGGAAAUUGACCCACGGUUUCCGGGAUCGUGCCACGAUUCAUUCGUCUGGAGGCAUUCUACAUUUCGCCGCCGCCUCACUCGUGGCCUGUUACUUCAUGGAGAAGUCUUGCUUGGGGACUCUGGGUACCGGCUAGCGCCAUGGAUCAUGACUCCUGUGCCUGGUCACCCAAAUCGCCUCACGGCAGAGGGGCGCUAUAAUGAGGCACACGCAUCAAUGCGAAAUGCCAAUGAGCGGUGCAUAGGAGUCGUCAAGAGCCGCUUCCGAUGCCUGCAGAUGUAUCGGGUGCUCCACUACUCGCCUCAGAAAGCAGCCACUAUUGUUGCAGCUUGUGCAGCGCUGCAUAACCUCUGCCUUGCAGCAGGCGUGCCUCUGCCAGACGACCCAGAUGAUGACGGUGCACAUGACGACAGCGCACAGCGGCCAGCCCAGGCACAAGUGCCGCUUCAAGUACAGGUGCCACCGCAGGCGCACCCUGUACAGCCUUCUCGAGCUUUGUUUCAAUGAGGCCGUGCGGUGCGCGAAUCCAUAGUUGGUGUGUUUCGGCUGCCCAGAAAUUUGCGCAUUGCCUACCUGCAAAGUGUGCGCCGGCGCAUUCGCUGGCAAAUGAGGCGGAGACAUGUGCUGGUGGAACAUGUUUUAUUUUUCUUUUCAUGAAGUAAAUAGGCCGUGCACUUCAACAUAACACAUUGCGUGUGCUCACAUGUGGCUAAUCGUAGUAUGCUGCAUACUGCGGUAGUGAAAAGCACAUGAUUUGUCUAUGUUGAGCAUGACAGAUACACAUGCAAUGACAAAUAGCCAUGUGCA